rnacentral:tRNA from 2 species
CGGAGCGUAGCUCAGCUUGGUAGAGUACCAGCUUUGGGAGCUGGCUGUCGUGGGUUCAAAUCCCACCGCUCCGA